rnacentral:rRNA from 1 species
UACGUAGGGUGCGAGCGUUAAUCGGAAUUACUGGGCGUAAAGCGUGCGCAGGCGGUGAUGUAAGACAGUUGUGAAAUCCCCGGGCUCAACCUGGGAACUGCAUCUGUGACUGCAUCGCUGGAGGGCGGCAGAGGGGGAUGGAAUUCCGCGUGUAGCAGUGAAAUGCGUAGAUAUGCGGAGGAACACCGAUGGCGAAGGCAAUCCCCUGGGCCUGCACUGACGCUCAUGCACGAAAGCGUGGGGAGCAAACAGG